GCGGGUGUGGCGGAAUUGGCAGACGCGCAGGACUUAGGAUCCUGUGGCCGUUAAGGCCGUCCGGGUUCGAAUCCCGGCACCCGCACCA
rnacentral:tRNA from 1 species